AAAUUGAAGAGUUUGAUCAUGGCUCAGAUUGAACGCUGGCGGCAGGCCUAACACAUGCAAGUCGAACGGUAACAGGAAGCAGCUUGCUGCUUCGCUGACGAGUGGCGGACGGGUGAGUAAUGUCUGGGAAGCUGCCUGAUGGAGGGGGAUAACUACUGGAAACGGUAGCUAAUACCGCAUAACGUCGCAAGACCAAAGAGGGGGACCUUCGGGCCUCUUGCCAUC
rnacentral:rRNA from 1 species